AAUUUGUGCAUUGUGGUCGGCGCAGUGGGAAACCAAACUCAGUGCCGGGUAGUUUGGUCUUUUACUCCACCGUUGUGGGAGUUGGUCAAAAGCCAUAAAAUCGCCGCGCUGUUUGUUAGUUGCGGUGAUUUUCAUUUAAUUGCAAAUGCAACUAGUCAAAGACAGAGGGGGGGAAACGCAACGGGCAAAACCCGUCCCAGGAAUGGACCCAAUGUGCGGCUUUCAAACGAACCACAAUCUGAAACACAGAUGACCUCCUUCCUUACACUUAAGAUGAAGAGUUUGAGUGGAACGCCCGGGAACCUCUUCAAUGCCAAUGUGUAUGCGAGAGUGAAAAUACAACAUCACUGGCCACUGUCCGCACCUGGAUUUACCACCAAUUGACAACUCGAACCAAUUGUAACCAAGUCGCAGUUAAUAAGUAAAGACAAAGUUGUCGAUUACAACCCGAUGCUGCUGUUUGGAACCGAUUUGCGUGCAAAGGAUACAUUUGGGUAAUUAAAACUGGCAGAUUGAGUUGCCAAGGAUGUAGAAUGAGCGAGCUGUGACAACGAGCGAUUCAUUGCCGGCUGAGGAAUAGAUAUUUUCAGCCUUCCAGUUGGCGGACAAGUUCGAUUACUCGCUGCAGAUUUACAAACGUUAACCUAGUUUGUAAAGUAUUGAUUUGAUUUA